rnacentral:rRNA from 1 species
UACGAAGGGGGCUAGCGUUGUUCGGAAUUACUGGGCGUAAAGCGUACGUAGGCGGCUUGGUAAGUCAGGUGUGAAACCUCCAGCUCAACCUGGAGACGCCACUUGAUACUGCCAUAGCUAGAGUCCGGUAGGGGAGCGUGGAAUUUCUGGUGUGAGCGGUGGAAAUGACGCAGAUAUCAGAAGGAACACCAGCGGCGAAGGCGGCGCUCUGGGCCGGAACUGACGCUGAGGAGCGAAAGCGUGGGUAGCAAACAGG